rnacentral:rRNA from 1 species
CGGAGGAAGGUGGGGACGACGUCAAGUCAUCAUGCCCCUUAUGUCUUGGGCUGCACACGUGCUACAAUGGCCGGUACAGAGGGCUGCGAGACCGCAAGGUGGAGCGAAUCUCAAAAAGCCGGUCUCAGUUCGGAUUGGGGUCUGCAACUCGACCCCAUGAAGUCGGA